UACGGAGGGGGCGAGCGUUAUUCGGAAUCACUGGGCGUAAAGGGUGCGUAGGCGGGUUUUUAAGUCAGAGGUGAAAUCCUGGAGCUCAACUCCGGAACUGCCAUUGAAACUGUGAAACUUGAGGAUGAGAGAGGUGAGUGGAAUUCCCAGUGUAGAGGUGAAAUUCGUAGAUAUUGGGAAGAACACCGGUGGCGAAGGCGGCUCACUGGCUCAUUUCUGACGCUCAGGCGCGACAGCGUGGGGAUCAAACAGG
rnacentral:rRNA from 1 species